rnacentral:rRNA from 1 species
UACAGAGGGUGCAAGCGUUGCUCGGAUUUACUGGGCGUAAAGCGUACGCAGACGGUCACGCAGGUCGGAUGUGAAAGCCCCGGGCUCAACCCGGGAACUGCAUUCGAAACCAUGUGACUUGAGGAUGGUAGAGGAGAGCGGAAUUCCCGGUGUAGAGGUGAAAUUCGUAGAUAUCGGGAGGAACACCAGUGGCGAAAGCGGCUCUCUGGGCCAUUUCUGACGUUCAGGUACGAAAGCGUGGGGAGCAAACAGG